GGAGAGUUGACCGAGGCUGGUUGAUGGUACUCGUUUGCUAAGCGAGAGUGGGUAAAACCACCGAGGGUUCGAAUCCCUCACUCUCCGCCA
rnacentral:tRNA from 1 species